UGGCGCAGGUUGAGGUAGUAGUUUGUGCUGUUGGCCGGGUCGACGUGAUGCCCCAUAUGGAGAUGACUGCGCAAUCUACUGCCUUGCCGGCGCUGGUGACUCGCUGCAGAGAAGACUGAAGAC
ensembl:miRNA